UAGUUCAGCACUAAGUCACUUUGUCUUAAUGGCAAAUGUGAGAUGCAGUGUAUGGAAUGUCAAAUUUCUAGUAUGAGAAAUUAACGAUUUAAGUCCUUCUUAAAUGAGGCCAUUUACCCAAAGAGGGUGCCAGGCCCGUAUAACGUUAAUGAUUACUAGAUGGCAUUUCCAAAGAGUCGUGUUGCUUGAUAGUGCAGCACUAAGUGGGUGGUAAACUCCAUCUAAAACUAAAUAUAACCAUGAGACCGAUAGUAAACAAGUACCGUGAGGGAAAGUUGAAAAGAACUCUGAAUAGAGAGUUAAAUAGUACGUGAAACUGCUUAGAGGUUAAGCCCGAUGAACCUGAAUAUCCAUUAUAGAAAAUUCAUCAUUAUGAUUUUAAUAUUUAUAAUAUUAUAAUAAUGGUGUGCAUUUUUUCUAUAAAAGGACAUUGUAAUCUAUUAACAUCAAAUAUUUAUCAAAAGAUCAAUUGCAAAAGUUUAUUCAAAUUAUUUUGCUUGCAAUUUAACAUAGAAUAAAUGCUUUUGAUUUGAUAAAGUGUUGAUAGAUUUAUUAUAUAUAGUGCUUGAAUAUUUAUAUUCUAUAAUAGCAUAUUAAUCAUUGAUUUUUAUGUUUAUUAUAUGCACUUAUAUGAUUAACAAUGCGAAAGAUUCAGGAUACCUUCGGGACCCGUCUUGAAACACGGACCAAGGAGUCUAACAUAUUUGCAAGUUAUUGGGAAUAAAAACCUAAUAGCGAAAUUAACAUAACUUAUUUAAUGGGAUUAAUUUUUAGCCUAUUUAUAGUCUAUUAAUUCAAUCCCGGGGCGUUCUAUACAGUUAUGUAUAAUAAUAUUUAUAUUAUUUAUACCUCUAACUAGAGCGUACCUUGAGCAUAUAUGCUGUGACCCGAAAGAUGGUGAACUAUACUUGAUCAGGUUGAAGUCAGGGGAAACCCUGAUGGAAGACCGAA
rnacentral:rRNA from 1 species